rnacentral:lncRNA from 1 species
CCUGUUCAUUACCAGAUGUUGUUACAUUCUUGACUAUAGAACAUCGUUGUUGGCAUUCAGAAGGAAGCAAACAGAAGAAGCAAACAUUGGCAUUCACACAAUGUUUAUCAACGAUCCAAGGCUAAGCGACCAACGGAAAACUUGAAGAACUGCGCUGCAGCCUAAAGUGUGGGUGCGCUA